rnacentral:rRNA from 1 species
UGGGGAAUAUUGGACAAUGGGGGAAACCCUGAUCCAGCCAUGCCGCGUGAAUGAUGAAGGCCCUAGGGUUGUAAAGUUCUUUCAUUGGUGAAGAUAAUGACGGUAACCAAAGAAGAAGCUCCGGCUAACUUCGUGCCAGCAGCCGCGGUAAUACGAAGGGAGCUAGCGUUGUUCGGAAUCACUGGGCGUAAAGCGCGUGUAGGCGGAUAUGUAAGCCAGAGGUGAAAGCCCGGGGCUCAACCCCGGAAUUGCCUUUGGAACUACAUGUCUAGAAUAUCAGAGAGGGUAGUGGAAUUCCUAGUGUAGAGGUGAAAUUCGUAGAUACUAGGAGGAACACCAGUGGCGAAGGC